rnacentral:misc_RNA from 1 species
CCGUACGUUGCUCUUGUCGUCUGGCUUAGCAAGCUCCUGGCCCCGCUGUGCUCGCGCGUCCGUGGCGUUGCGGACUGUCGGUUCUCCUGCUUCUUUAUCGCCCUUCACCUUGCGCGUCACACCCUCUUAUCAAUGCCCGACGCCUCCUCUACCGCGGUGGUAGCCGCCCCUCCUUCCAAAGAGAGGUUGGGUAGCAGCGGAGGCGUGCUGCUACCGCUUGCCGUGGCCGGAGCUGGUCUGCUGUGCCUAUGGAAGGCCUUCCAAAUUUGCUCCGUUCCCGUUCACCCGCGUUGCGUGACCGUCGUCUACGACACGCGCCGCAAGACGGUCUUGUGCACCUCGGCGGAUUGCGAGAUGCGCCGGGGCUCACUGCCGCGGGUGUCUCACUUCAACGCGUCACUGUACUUCGGGUCCGCGCUGAUGUACUGGAGCCGGACGCGGCUGCUGGUGCCGCCGUCGUCCUUCUUCGGCGUCUUCACGCUUCCGCGCAGCGUCCUCGAGGAGCCGGGCGAGCCCGUGAACUGUGCCGUGGAGGAGGUGGCCGUGCGCGACGGGUCCGUGAACAUGAUGGUGACUGUCUUCUACACCAUCCCCUUCGACCAGGUGGAGCGCUACCUUGCCGCCGUCGGCCCUGAGCCACCGAACGAAGUAAUCGGCAAGGCGGUCGCCUACGUUGCACGCGUGCGGUGCGCAGAGCAGUCGGCCGGUAUCUUGCUCAGCAAGACCCGCCGCGAAGCGUUCAUGGGUCCGUACAAGGACCACCUUACCUCGAAGCUCAUGUCGGAGGCGGCGGUGCUGGUGAGGGACGUGGCUGUGGAGAGUGUGGUGCUGCUCGAGGGGGGCUAGCAAUGGCGCCAGUGCAUUGCCUGCGUUGUUCCACCCUCACCCUGCCGUCGCCUUUUCCUUCAUCGACUCCUCACGUUGAUGCCUGCGCAGCAUCAUCACAACUCUCGCUCUGCCUGAGCGUGCACACACAUGUCUGCGCUUCUUUGAUGGUUUCGAGGUGGACCUAGUGACCGCUGAGCCCUUUUUUC